AACGAACGCUGGCGGCAGACUUAACACAUGCAAGUCGAACGCAUCGCAAGAUGAGUGGCAGACGGGUGAGUAACGCGUGGGAACAUACCCUUUUCUACGGAAUAGCUCUGGGAAACUGGAAUUAAUACCGUAUACGCCCUACGGGGGAAAGAUUUAUCGGGGAAGGAUUGGCCCGCGUUGGAUUAGCUAGUUGGUGGGGUAAAGGCCUACCAAGGCGACGAUCCAUAGCUGGUCUGAGAGGAUGAUCAGCCACAUUGGGACUGAGACACGGCCCAAACUCCUACGGGAGGCAGCAGUGGGGAAUAUUGGACAAUGGGCGCAAGCCUGAUCCAGCCAUGCCUCGUGAGUGAUGAAGGCCUUAGGGUUGUAAAGCUCUUUCACCGAUGAAGAUAAUGACGGUAGUCGGAGAAGAAGCCCCGGCUAACUUCGUGCCAGCAGCCGCCGUAACAC
rnacentral:rRNA from 1 species